AGCCCCAGACGUAAUCUGAGGUGUAACCUGCCCAGUGGUUUCUAAUAAAAAGAAAUAAAAAUUCUUAAAAGGAACUAAAAGGACGCGGUAACCUUGACCGUGGUAAUGUAGCAUAAUCACUCGCCAUUUAAUUGGUGGAUAGUAUGAAUGGUUGAACGAAUAUUCCGCUGUCUUAGGGAGAAUCAUAAGAAAUUGAAAUAAUAGUUAAGAUGCUAUUUUUUACUGUAAGACGAAAAGACCCUAUAGAGCUUAACUAUAACCUUCUUAUUAAUAAUAGAAAAAUAAUUCUAAAAUUAAGAAGGUUGGUAGUUUAGUUGGGGCGACUGUCUUCUACAAAAAACGAAGACAAGCAAUGUUAAUAUGAAACUUAUUGUAUAACAAAAAUGUUUAACAAUUAUGAAAAUAGGCUAUAAUGACCCGUUAAUACUUUAUAAAAAGAAUAACGAUCAAUUAAUAAAAGCUACCUUAGGGAUAACAGGAUAAUUUCAUUCUAGAGUUCUUAUCGAAAAUGAAGUUUGUCACCUCUAUGUUGAAUUAAGAUAUCCUGAUAAUGCAGCAGUUAUCAAAGGUAGGUCUGUUCGACCUUUAAAAUCUUA
rnacentral:rRNA from 1 species